rnacentral:misc_RNA from 1 species
UGUGGGAGUGAGCCUGCUCGCGAUAAGGACCUUUCAGCCAACAAAGAUGUUGAAGGUUGGUCCGCUAUCGCGAGCAGGCUCACUCCCACA